UUAAGCAAUGUUUUCCUUUCACAAAAAAUUCUGAGGGAAGAGUACCACCUUACAUCUCAAUUUCACUAGUUUUCUCUUUCAUACAUUGAUUGCGAAAAUUUAUUAGUUGCUUAAACCCAUAAAAAAUGUCUGUAUCCUACUAUGUACACGUAACUGCGCGCACAUGCAACUAAAUAGUUUGUUUCGUAUGUUUGUAUUAGUGCAUUUCAGUGGAAUGAUUCUUUAAAGUGUGACGAGGUUAGUAGGAUACUUCCAGACGCGCAGAAUAAUAUAUCCUUCUCGUAUGUUUGUUUUCAUAAUUCAAUUUGCUACUUUUUAAACGUCAAAUGUAUUUAUGUACUGAAAGGAGAUUAUUAUGUACUUCAAUCGUAUCAAAGUGCGUCAUCGUUUUAUAAAUGGAAUAAAGCACAAUUAUUUUAAAUGAUGUUUCGCCUCUCACAAAUGGGAAUGGCAAGAGUAAAACAAC